rnacentral:sRNA from 1 species
GGUGGGUGUGGUGGUGCACACCUGUAAUCCCAGUGACACAGGAGGCUGAGGCAGGAGGACUGCACGUUCAAAGCCAGCCUCCACUACUUAGCGAGACCCUAAGUAACUCAGUGAGACCCUGUCUCUA